rnacentral:tRNA from 1 species
UGGGGCGUGGCCAAGGGGUAAGGCAACGGGUUUUGGUCCCGCGAUUCGUAGGUUCGAAUCCUUCCGUCCCAG